rnacentral:ncRNA from 2 species
ACAUUAUCAAGAGAGACUGAGGGACAGGCCCGAUGACGUCCAGCAACCUACAGAGUGAUCUGUAAGGUGCUAAUUCCUGCAGAAUGAUUUCAUUCUGAGAGAUAAACC